GCAUCAGUUCACCUGUAGGAAAUGGCCACAUCUCGGUGGUAGAACAUCUGCUUUUCAUGCAGAAGGUCCCAAGUUCAAUCUCCUGGUAGGACUG